CUAAGAAGUAACCUUUCAGCUAUUACACAGAACAUCUAAAGACAGAUGUAUAUGUCUAAAAAGACUGAAAAUCUCUAAAUCAUAAUGGUAGGAGCUGAGUCCAUCCAGUCUUUCUCUGCCUCUGGCAAAUUCAUCUCAGCGAAAAGGUCUAGGAGAUGAUGAAAAGAACGAACAACAAAUUCUAGUCACCAUUUUCUGAAAAAGACACUUGAAGUGAUUUGCUUGAAUGGAGCCCAAAAUCAAGUGAAUGGAGAAAAAUGCAUAAUAUUUCAAGGCACGAAGAGAGAGCGGAAUAGCAUGAAUCUUGCUGGUGGUGGUGUUUUUAAGUUUUCCUACGACUGAGCGACUGAACUGAACUGAAUCCCCCAUAUUCUCGUGACACUUGUAAG